rnacentral:rRNA from 1 species
AUGUUUGCUGAUUGGACUGACGAUAACACUACGAUCUUGACCGAGCUCUUUGUCCAACAAGUGCGUGCUGGCAAUAGGCCAGACAAGCACUUGACUCAAAAUGCUUAUGAGGAAGUUGCGAAGGAUUUUAAAGUCAGAACAGGAGAUACAGUUUCUUGUGGACAUUAG